rnacentral:rRNA from 1 species
CAGUACCGUGAGGGAAAGGUGAAAAGAACCCCGAACAGGGGAGUGAAAUAGAACCUGAAACCAUACGCUUACAACCUGUCGGAGCGGCUUCGUGCCGUGACGGCGUGCCUAUUGAAUAAUGAGCCUACGAGUUACUAAUCACUGGCAAGGUUAAGUGCACGGAUGCACGGAGCCGAAGCGAAAGCGAGUCUGAAUAGGGCGUUUAGUCAGUGGUUGUAGACGCGAAACCUUGCGAUCUACCCUUGAGCAGGUUGAAGGUUGGGUAAAACCAACUGGAGGACCGAACGAAUAAGCGUUGAAAAGCUUCUCGAUGACUUGAGGGUAGGGGUGAAAGGCUAAUCAAGCUGGGAAAUAGCUCGUACUCCCCGAAAUGCCUUUAGGGGCAGCGUUGUAAUUAAGAGUCUACUGGAGGUAGAGCUACUGAUUGGAUGCGGGGGCUUCACCGCCUACCAAAUCCUGACAAACUCCGAAUGCCAGUAGUAUGAUUUACAGCAGUGAGCGACCGGGUGCUAAUGUCCGGUUACGAGAGUGGAACAACACAGACCAGCAACUAAGGUCCCCAAGAGUAUACUAAGUUGAUCUAACGAUGUUUUGCUGCAGAGACAGCUAGGAUGUUAGCUUGGAAGCAGCUAUUCAUUCAAAGAGUGCGUAACAGCUCACUAGUCGAGCGGCAAAGCGUGGAUAAUAAACGGGCAUCAAGUAUACCACCGAAGUUCUGGGCACGAAAGUGCGGUAGGGGAGCAUUCCAUUCCGCGUUGAAGCCGAACCGUGAGGUUUGGUGGAGUGUAUGGAAAAGCAAAUGUAGGCAUGAGUAACGAUAAUGCGGGAGAGUAACCCGCACACCGCAAGACCAAGGUUUCCUGAUCAACGCUAAUCGGAUCAGGGUUAGUCGGGUCCUAAGGGUAAGCCGAACGGUGAUCUCGAUGGAUAAUCGGUUAAUAUUCCGAUACUGACAUAUACCUCGAUGGAGAGACGAAGGAACGUAAGUGCCGCCACCUGACGGAAUAGGUGGUUAAAGGGCUUAGGUAUAGGGGCAGAUUAAGAGUUAGUCCUUGCUGAAACCUGACAGUACAGAGAGCCUACGGGCAAUUUGAUAGUGCACCCAAGUCGACUUCCGAGAAAAUCUUCUAAGCUUAUAGUAUAUGUCACCCGUACCGUAAACCGACACAGGUGGUCGAGGAGAGUAUCCUAAGGUGCUCGAGUGAAUCACGGUUAAGGAACUAGGCAAAUUAACCCCGUAACUUCGGGAAAAGGGGUCCCAUCGCGAGGUGGGCGCAGCGAAGAGGUCCAGGCGACUGUUUAUCAAAAACACAGGGCUCUGCAAAUUCGAAAGAAGACGUAUAGGGCCUGACACCUGCCCGGUGCUGGAAGGUUAAGAGGGGAUGUCAUCGCAAGAGAAGCAUUGAAUCGAAGCCCCAGUAAACGGCGGCCGUAACUAUAACGGUCCUAAGGUAGCGAAAUUCCUUGUCGGGUAAGUUCCGACCUGCACGAAUGGUGUAACGAUCUGGACACUGUCUCAACCGUGAGCUCGGUGAAAUUGUAGUCCCGGUGAUGAUGCCGGGUACCCGCAACGGGACGAAGAGACCCCGUGAACCUUUACUAUAGCUUAACGCUGAAUUUGGGUACACAAUGUGUAGGAUAGGCAGGAGACUACGAAGCGGGCACGCCAGUGUUCGUGGAGUCGACGUUGAAAUACUGCCCUUUGUGUACUUGAGUUCUAACCCUCGAGAGGGGACACCGUUUGGUGGGUAGUUUGACUGGGGUGGUCGCCUCCAAAAGAGUAACGGAGGCUUCCCAAGGUACCCUCAGCACGAAUGGUAACCGUGCGUAGAGUGCAAUAGCAUAAGGGUGCUUGACUGUGAGACCAACAAGUCGAUCAGGUGCGAAAGCAGGGUAUAGUGAUCCGGUGGUUCUGCGUGGACUGGCCAUCGCUCAAAGGAUAAAAGGUACUCCGG